rnacentral:rRNA from 1 species
GACAGAGGGUGCGAGCGUUGUCCGGAUUUAUUGGGCGUAAAGAGCGUGUAGGCGGCCAGGUAGGUCUGCUGUGAAAACUCGAGGCUCAACCUCGAGACGUCGGCGGAAACCAUCUGGCUAGAGUCCGGAAGAGGAGAGUGGAAUUCCUGGUGUAGCGGUGAAAUGCGCAGAUAUCAGGAAGAACACCCGUGGCGAAGGCGGCUCUCUGGGACGGUACUGACGCUGAGACGCGAAAGCGUGGGGAGCGAACAGG